CCUACGGGUGGCUGCAGUGGGGAAUAUUGCACAAUGGGCGCAAGCCUGAUGCAGCCAUGCCGCGUGUGUGAAGAAGACCUUCGGGUUGUAAAGCACUUUCAGCGGGGAGGAAGGCGUUAAGGUUAAUAACCUUGUCGAUUGACGUUACCCGCAGAAGAAGCACCGGCUAACUCCGUGCCAGCAGCCGCGGCAAUACGGAGGGUGCGAGCGUUAAUCGGAAUUACUGGGCGUAAAGCGCACGCAGGCGGUCUGUCAAGUCGGAUGUGAAAUCCCCGGGCUCAACCUGGGAACUGCAUUCGAAACUGGCAGGCUAGAGUCUUGUAGAGGGGGGUAGAAUUCCAGGUGUAGCGGUGAAAUGCGUAGAGAUCUGGAGGAAUACCGGUGGCGAAGGCGGCCCCCUGGACAAAGACUGACGCUCAGGUGCGAAAGCGUGGGGAGCAAACAGGAUUAGAUACCCCUGUAGUC
rnacentral:rRNA from 1 species